rnacentral:rRNA from 1 species
AUGAGGACUCUACAUCCUGUUCCGUGCUAUGAGUUUAUUGUUUUUGACGGUCCUUAUGAUGAACUAGUAGGCAAUGUGUCUUUGGGGGUGUAUGAUGGUGUAGUAGGCGAUGUGACCAUAACCGCGCAACGAGUUACAGUCGCAGACUUUACGGUGCCAUACACACAGUCUGGUGUAUCUAUGCUUGUGCUUACCGAGGAUGAACCAACCACAAUCAGUUGGACAUUUGUAAAGCCAUUGAGUAAGAAUCUUUGGUUUGCAACUAUUGCCUUCUUAUUCUAUACUGGCUUUGUUGUGUGGAUGAUUGAACUACCCACAAAUCAAGAGUGCCAAGGAUUAAGUUUGACACGGUGCAGCACUGCCCUCUACUUUGUUUUCUCAACUUUGACGUUUUCUCAUGGUCAAAGUAUUAGAAGCCCUUUGACAAAAAUUAUUGUGGUGAUAUGGUGCUUUGUUGUGUUGAUUCUAGUGCAAAGCUAUACAGCUAGCUUGUCAUCCAUGUUGACUGCAAAGCGGCUCCGCCCUAGGGUGUCAAAUCUAGAUCAACUUCAACGGAACGACGACUUUGUAGGAUACCAAGAUGAUUCAUUUGUGCGGUCCUUCUUGAUAAAUCAUCAUAAUAUCAGUGAAAGUAGGUUAAGAAACUACAACACCAAAGAAGAAUAUGAUGUUGCUUUGAGGAAGGGGUCCAAGAAUGGAGGGGUGUCGGCCAUUGUCGAUGAGAUCCCCUAUUUAACUUCUUUCAUCUCUGAUAGUCGGUACAAAAAGGACUUUAUGAUGCUUGGGUGCAUAUACGAGACCCCUGGAUUUGGUUUUGUAAGCUUCUCAGCC